UACACUCCUGCGGGAGGCAGCAGUGGGGAAUAUUGCACAAUGGGCGCAAGCCUGAUGCAGCCAUGCCGCGUGUAUGAAGAAGGCCUUCGGGUUGUAAAGUACUUUCAGCGGGGAGGAAGGCGAUAAGGUUAAUAACCUUGUUGAUUGACGUUACCCGCAGAAGAAGCACCGGCUAACUCCGUGCCAGCAGCCGCGGUAAUACGGAGGGUGCAAGCGUUAAUCGGAAUUACUGGGCGUAAAGCGCACGCAGGCGGUCUGUCAAGUCGGAUGUGAAAUCCCCGGGCUCAACCUGGGAACUGCAUUCGAAACUGGCAGGCUAGAGUCUUGUAGAGGGGGGUAGAAUUCCAGGUGUAGCGGUGAAAUGCGUAGAGAUCUGGAGGAAUACCGGUGGCGAAGGCGGCCCCCUGGACAAAGACUGACGCUCAGGUGCGAAAGCGUGGGGAGCAAACAGGAUUAGAUACCCUAGUAGUCCCA
rnacentral:rRNA from 1 species